CUCUGCUCAGAACCAACAUUUUGAUUGAUUUGUCUUUUUCCGCUUACUGCCGGUGGCAUUUGAAAUUCUCGACAGCAAACCGAAAAAGGCGCCUCAAUCAAUUUAAGUCAUCCGGCGAGAGCA
rnacentral:pre_miRNA from 11 species